UGUAAAAGUUCGUAGAAUCUAAAGGCAAUUGUAACUUAGCCGUGUCUCCCUUACACACCGAGACUUCAGAAUCAAGUCCUGUAGCAGGGACCAUGCUAACCAGAAGAUGAAAUCUGACCUAAGCUUUGCCAGAUGUAGGUUUAUUGACCUUGAGCAGGUCAGUUUACCCCUCUGGGCUUUAAUUUACACAUGUAUAAAAGACGGGGCGGAACUUGGUAUCUAUAAGGGUGUUCCAGAAAUUGGGGCCACCUCGUCACAAGCAGGCCCCACCCAAACCAGAGAGGCCAUGACUGUCAGAUCGCUUUUAAUGAGUGGAUUCUGCAGUCUAAAUAUAUUCUUCCUUAGUUUUCCUUUUAACUAGUUAAAUUACACAGCCUGCAUUCAGUUCUGUCAUUUAUUACCUGCAUGACAUUGAGCAAGUUUGCUUAUUCUCUCUGGCUUCCACGGCCAAAAAGAGAGGACAAUGGUAAUUGCUAUGAGGAUUAACUGGAUGGAUGAGGCACUGAGAACUAUGUCUGGCACCCAGUAAGUGUUGCUCAAAUAUUUUAAGGUACUAAAUGAUGUAUCUUUACAAUUUCCUUCACAUAAUCUUUACUAUGUUUUUAAAAGAUUUUUAGUGCUUAGAGAAAUGCAUCAAAUAUUAUUUUUAAAAAUGUUUUGUUUCAAAACAGACCUAGAAAUGCAAGGUUUACCUUGAAAAGGUGUCAACAUAUGCAAGUCCCUUAACAAAUUUAAAUACAACCAAACUCACAUGCUAGAAAAUGGCUUAUAUCUAUGAAUAGAUAGGAUAGCUCUGCCAAGACUUGGAAACUGAUUGUUUUUUACUGACAUCUAAAAUAAUUGUCCUUCCAGCUGAGCAAGCAGGGAAGUAAUUCAAAUAGAAGUGAUCUCACUGCAGAGCUUUUGAUUUUGAGUUUUGUUUUUUAACAGUUAGCCUCCAGACCUGUUCUUAUUAGGCUGACAAAUGAUAAUCCUCUGUUCCCACUUCAAUGUUUCAGGAAAAAACUCUUUAAAAUUAUUUUAGGGUUGAAUCCUUUGUAGGGAGUUCUGAUGGACAACAAGCAUGUGACAGGCCAGACCGAGGUGGUAUGAUGAGUUGGGAGGGAGUGCAGUUAGA